rnacentral:tRNA from 1 species
GGACUCAUAGUUCAGGGGUAGAAUGCUCGCUUCGGGAGUUACCGAAGAACGUGCGAGAGGUCCGGGGUUCAAGUCCCCGUGAGUCCC